GACGAGGGAUCCUAGCGUUGUUCGGAAUCAUUGGGCGUAAAGCGGGUGUAGGUGGCUUUGUAAGUCGAGUGUGAAAGCCUGGGGCUCAACCCCAGAAGUGCAUUCGAUACUGCGAAGCUUGAGUGCCGGAGAGGUUAGUAGAAUUGUUGGUGUAGUGGUGAAAUACGUAGAUAUCAACAGGAAUACCGGAGGCGAAGGCGGCUAACUGGCCGGACACUGACACUGAGACCCGAAAGCGUGGGGAUCAAACAGG
rnacentral:rRNA from 1 species